UACGUAGGGUGCAAGCGUUAAUCGGAAUUACUGGGCGUAAAGCGUGCGCAGGCGGUUGUGUAAGACAGAUGUGAAAUCCCCGGGCUCAACCUGGGAACUGCAUUUGUGACUGCACAGCUGGAGUGCGGCAGAGGGGGAUGGAAUUCCGCGUGUAGCAGUGAAAUGCGUAGAGAUCGGGAGGAACAUCAGUUGCGAAGGCGGCUCUCUGGACCAGCACUGACACUGAGGCACGAAAGCGUGGGGAGCAAACAGG
rnacentral:rRNA from 1 species